rnacentral:rRNA from 1 species
AUGGGUAUGGAGGAUGAGGACCAGGGGGAGGGUGAGCAGGACGGACAUGGGGAAGGUGCUGCGAGGCCGGAGAUCCAGCGGCGCUCGGGUCGCGGUGGUGUGGGGCCGACCAUCACUCCCGACCACUUACCGCUGGUUUUUGUUCCUCAUCCCCAAUCUAGGUUUGGCCCUGUCAUCUUCUUCCUCCCAAGUUUUUGCCUCUUGAUUUCUUUGUUUCCUGAUUUUGAUUUCUCGAUUUACAAUUUUUCUGAACAUGAUAUGUGCAGAUCUUAUGAAGAAGAUAAGAGGGACGAUCUUGAGGAAGAGUCAAGAACAAGGUGA